CGAGCGGUAGAGAUCUUUCGGGAUCUUGAGAGCGGCGUACGGGUGCGGAACACGUGUGCAACCUGCCUUUAUCUGGGGGAUAGCCUUUCGAAAGGAAGAUUAAUACCCCAUAAUAUACUGAAUGGCAUCAUUCGGUAUUGAAAACUCCGGUGGAUAGAGAUGGGCACGCGCAAGAUUAGAUAGUUGGUGAGGUAACGGCUCACCAAGUCUGCGAUCUUUAGGGGGCCUGAGAGGGUGAUCCCCCACACUGGUACUGAGACACGGACCAGACUCCUACGGGAGGCAGCAGUGAGGAAUAUUGGACAAUGGGUGAGAGCCUGAUCCAGCCAUCCCGCGUGAAGGACGACGGCCCUAUGGGUUGUAAACUUCUUUUGUAUAGGGAUAAACCUACUCUCGUGAGAGUAGCUGAAGGUACUAUACGAAUAAGCACCGGCUAACUCCGUGCCAGCAGCCGCGGUAAUACGGAGGGUGCAAGCGUUAUCCGGAUUUAUUGGGUUUAAAGGGUCCGUAGGCGGAUUUGUAAGUCAGUGGUGAAAUCUCACAGCUUAACUGUGAAACUGCCAUUGAUACUGCAAGUCUUGAGUGUUGUUGAAGUAGCUGGAAUAAGUAGUGUAGCGGUGAAAUGCAUAGAUAUUACUUAGAACACCAAUUGCGAAGGCAGGUUACUAAGCAACAACUGACGCUGAUGGACGAAAGCGUGGGGAGCGAACAGGAUUAGAUACCCUGGUAGUCCACGCCGUAAACGAUGCUAACUCGUUUUUGGAUUUUCGGAUUCAGAGACUAAGCGAAAGUGAUAAGUUAGCCACCUGGGGAGUACGUUCGCAAGAAUGAAACUCAAAGGAAUUGACGGGGGCCCGCACAAGCGGUGGAUUAUGUGGUUUAAUUCGAUGAUACGCGAGGAACCUUACCAAGGCUUAAAUGGGAAAUGACAGGUUUAGAAAUAGACUUUUCUUCGGACAUUUUUCAAGGUGCUGCAUGGUUGUCGUCAGCUCGUGCCGUGAGGUGUUAGGUUAAGUCCUGCAACGAGCGCAACCCCUGUCACUAGUUGCCAUCAUUAAGUUGGGGACUCUAGUGAGACUGCCUACGCAAGUAGAGAGGAAGGUGGGGAUGACGUCAAAUCAUCACGGCCCUUACGCCUUGGGCCACACACGUAAUACAAUGGCCGGUACAGAGGGCAGCUACACAGCGAUGUGAUGCAAAUCUCGAAAGCCGGUCUCAGUUCGGAUUGGAGUCUGCAACUCGACUCUAUGAAGCUGGAAUCGCUAGUAAUCGCGCAUCAGCCAUGGCGCGGUGAAUACGUUCCCGGGCCUUGUACACACCGCCCGUCAAGCCAUGGAAGUCUGGGGUACCUGAAGUCGGUGACC
rnacentral:rRNA from 4 species